GUUAACGAAAUAUUAUUUAGAAAUGACAGUUUAACCAAGCCAAAAUUUGUCAAGUUAGGGAUUAGUUGAUACCAAAGUAUUAAGAGCACCGGCUUUAUAAUGAUGUGGUGAAACUUUACUCUUCUCUCUUGAAACAUAGAUUAGGUUUGGCAUCAUCUCAUCUGUUUCGUUGUGUUGUAGCACCUUUCCCACAAAUUAAUAGAAAAAAACGAGUUCUUAUUAAUUGUAGAAACUUUUGUUUCUAAAAUAAAACACUCAAAUACACUUUCUUUAUAUGAUACGAUGCGAUACAAAACAAAAUGAGUUAUAAUAAUACCUGAAUAAUUGUGGGAUGGUCAUGACGAGUGAAUUUAUCUGUCCACAAAUCGAAAACCCCACGAAAUUGAUCGCAUGUGAUAAAUGCAGUCUCAACUUUUCCACUCUCGGCCACAUUUUCUACUCUACUCUUCAUGUCUUCGUACAUCAGCUAUUAACACCACACAAUUUUAAGCAAAUAUAUAUAUACUCAUAUCGUUUAGGAGAAGAAAUCAUUGAUAUAUCAUGGAUGUUUAAACAUUACAAUAAAUGAAUAGGAAAUAUUAUGUGAUACAUGUCACAGUAUCCCAAACUCUUGGGGUCGUAAAGGACAAAAUCGCCAUUAUUAUUGUCGACAAGAACCUAAGGCUAUGAUGGACCAAAUUGUUUCAUAAAAUAUUUGGUAUGUGUUUCAGUUUCUCCCUCUCUUUUUUUCAACCAUUUUUCCCCAAAUUUUUUUAAUCAAACAUUAUUUCCAUUUUCUCUUGAAAGCUCCAGUUUCAAAUUACUGAUUUAUAUUUAACUCAUAAUUGAUACAUAUCAAGGAAGCUAUACCAUAAAGAAAUAUUGCUUAUGGUGCACAUGAAUUAUUCGAUUUUAGUAUACUUAAAGAGAACAACUAAUAUAUAGUUGAAUAGCAAAAUAGGUGAAUCCUGAUAUAGCAUAACCAAUAGAACGAUAACAUUUAUAAACUGAAUAGAACUGAUUCUUUUAAAACGCCAAAAACUAUUAUUUAGUAGAUGAAUAAAAUUUCAAGAUUAACAAAAAAAAAGUUUUGACAAAAAAAAUAUACAUGAAAGUGUCUCUAAUUUAGUUAUAAUUUUAAAACGUGUGAGAUAUACUGAAAUGUCACUUGUUAUUUUCAUGUGUUAUCAUUCAUCACAAGUUUUUACGGAUAUUAUAUAUUCGGCAAAAUCAUGUUUUCGAAACGUGACGUUGAAAAACUCGCAAACCAUUCAAACCCAUAAUUUUUUUUAAAACUAUUAUGGCUUCAAUUGGUAACCAUAAUUUAGAAAAAGAAUGAGAAUGAAUGUGAUAUUCCUCUUUGUUCCUCAAUAUUUUUACCAUUUACAAGUAAUAUUUUUUCCACAUCAUUCCUCUACAUUCCUCACCAAAAGAGGAACACUAGAACAAAAAUGUUCCUCUCCAAAAUUGAUGAGGAACAAAAUGGAACAAGAAAGGAACAAAUAUUAAAAUUCGUUUUUAUUUUAAAAUAAAAAAUAAUAUUUAUCAAUAAUAUUUGUAUUUUAUUAUAUAAUAAUUUUCAUAUCUUUACAAUAUAUUAACAGAAAAAAAUAUUUUUGAUAAGAAUUUUAUGCUGAAUUACUCUUAAGUCUUCAUUUGAAAAUUAUAUAAAUAGUAAAAUAAAUUUAAAAGUGUUUAUAUUGUAAAAGAUUAAUAUAUUUUAAAUUACUCUUUCAAUUUUAUUUUAUGUUAAUAUUAAAUAUUAUUUAAAAUGAUAUAUAUAUAUAUAUAUAUAAAUUUAGCUCACUAAUUUUAGUUUCAAAUUAAAUAUAAAAUUCAAUAAAUAUAAAAAAUAUUUAGUAUUUUUCAUUGAAAUUUGAUUCAUUUACUAUUUAAUAUAUCUUUAAAGAUAUUUUUAUUGUUUGGUUACCAUUCAUCAUAAUAGUACAUUUUAUUCAUUCUCUACAUUUUUUCUUUUUUGUUCAUCAAAAAUUAUUUGUUCCAUUCCGCAUUGUUCUUUUUAUUCAGUUUUUUUUUGUUCUUUUAAUGGUUACCAGUCGGAGCCUAUGUACAUUUUAACUAAUAAUAAUGAAUUUUAAAUUUCAAAAAGUAUUGAUUUAAAAUAAUUAAAAUUUUGAAACACUAUUGGUUUAACGAAAAUUGAAUCAGUACACAAAAUUAAUAUAUUUGUAAUUAAAUAUUAAUUUUUUGUGUGUGAAAACUCAAAAUUUCAUUAUCUAGAAACAGAAGGAUAGUAUCAUUUUAGAUAACUAUACUCCAAUCGUUUACGAGAAAUCAUUUAGAGGAAAUCUAACACAAACCCUGGCUUCUUUUUGUCUAUUUGGACAAAAUUGGCAUUAUCGGCGACAAGAUGUACGAUAAGGUUGGAUUGACCCUUCAACACACCACUGGCUUCUUUUUGUCUGUUUCUUCUACUCAGUUUUAUUUAUUUGUCAUUAUGAAUGAUUCCUUCUCCAUUACAGAUAUAAAUUCUCGUUUUUUUGGUCCCAUUUAGUUUGUUUUGCCAAAAAGCAUGUUAUUCCAUAAUUAAAAGUAAUGAAAAUGAAUUACAAUUAUGAAAGACAAUGAGAGAAAUUAUGAAGUAAGCUAAGUGUUAACAAUUCUUGGAAGUUGGAACAGCUGUGGCGGUUUUAAAUCAUUUUUUAGUACGAGAACUAAGAGAUUUUUAUCCAUAAUUAGAAUCUUUUAAAUGAGGAUUUUAACUGUAAAAUAAUAAUAAUUUUAAUAUAAUUUAGUUAUAUAAUUAAUAUUAAAUUUGAAGAAAAUGAACCACUUGUAAUAAGACAAGUGUCAUGAGUUUUUCAAAGUUUUAAAUGGGAAAGCCAUUUCAUUUUCUCAUUUUUUGUUUAUUUUUUACUUUUUUUUUUAAUGUAGAAAACUCAUGUGAGCGACCUUUGAUCGAGGUGUUCUAAGAGCAUGAUUAUCCAAAGACUCUUAAUAAUGGCUCUUAUCUACGUGACACAUCUUAACUCUCAAAAUGUUUCUUAGCUAAGAAACGUUCCUUAGUUAUAUUCAGCAUUUUCAAUUUAAUUUAAAUUAUUUAUAAACCUAAGAGAAUCAUUAAGCAACUACCGAUAAUCAUGCUCUAAGUCUCUAACAGUAGUAAGAAUUGUGUUGGCCUACGUAUGCCGUAUGCGCAUCAGUUGAAAGAAAGAAAAAAAUAUACAAAACCUAAUUAAUUAUACGUUUAUAAGUUAUUGGUUGAUAAGCGAUACAUACCUUAAGGUUUUCAGCUUCCUCACUCUGAGACUGUGACUCAGAUGAGAAAUAAACUUCAGGGGACCGAUCUUGAACAUUGUUAUUCUUGCAAAAGGGCAACCAACGCUUAGAGAACUUGGCAGCCUCCAUAAGAGCAAACAAAGUCAAUGAAGAUCCUCCAUCGUCCGAUACAUAGACUGAGAUCUUAUCGGACGCAUAUUCAUAGGCCAUCACAGAUAAGGCGGUGUUAACCACCAUCAUCGGAGGCUCCUUGUACGGAUCAGCCGUGCAUAUAAACACGUCCAGCUUCGGAAAAUCCUCCGGUUUAGCUGCAUAUUUCUCAGGGUACUCCGUCCGGUGAACCGGGUUUAACCGGAGGGAAGUUGUGGUUACCCACAUGAAGGCGAGAACAAUAUCGGAGAGGAGAAGAAGACAUGUUAUAAGAGUGUUGUUUGCUGUGAGAAUUGAGAGUACAUGGUGAUACAUGAGGGCUAUGAUGCCACACGUGUGGAUUACGGCGUAGAUUCUGUAUGGAAUGGCGCGCCGGCAGGGAUGACACGUGUGGAGGGCCGUCGAGUAUUUUCUCCGAGGUUCCAUCUUUUUAAGGAAGGCAACUGGUUUUUCGAGAAAAUAAUGACCACAAAUAUAUAAAUAGGACUUAUAUAUAGGCCAGUUUCUUUGGAUUGAUUAUUUCUCUGAUGAUAUAUACACACACACACUAUAGAUAGUACUUAUAUACACUAUAUUUGUUUAUAUGUUAGGAUAAAUUCGUAGGUAUAAAAAUAUAUAUAACAAUUACUGAUGUAAAUAUUUGGAUUUUGAUGAUUGAAACCCACAGAUUAUAAAACCAUUAAUUCCUUGAUUUUAUAAAAUAUUUAUCACCAAAAACAAAAGUUAAAUAUUUACUUAAUUAAUAUAUGUACUUGAUACUCCCACCAAAAAAAUAUGUACUUAAUACUUCAAUAGUUUAAAAAUAAAAACAUUAAUAUAAAAUUUUAAAAUAACUGUAAACCAGUUAUAUUGUAAAAAACAAUUUACAAUAUUAUUGGUUUAGAGUUAUAGAAAAACAAUGGAAUAAAAAACUAAAAAAUAUAUCUUUUUGAAACAAAAAUCUUUUCUAAAACUUGGACUAAUUAGGAACAAAGGGAGAGGGAGUAACAUAUGUUAUAUUUUAAGUAAUUAAUCUUUUGUCACAUGUUGGAUUUUAGUGAGACGUGUGGAAUUUUAUCUUAUACAAUUUGAAUUUUUCAAUGGAGAAGUUAAGUUGAAAUUCUCUAACUUGAAAAUGAUGCGAAACUAUCAAAUGGAUGAAGACUGGGGCUUGGAGAGUCACUGCCUUCACGAUUCACGUCACGCAUAUCUGCCAAGUGCCAACUUCUUAACUUCUUGCAAAAUAUCGAUUGUGGACAACUGUACUUCCACACAAUCGUACAUAAAUGUGUACAUAAAGAGUCGUAUAACACUUUUAAUAAAAAUGUGAUAGAAGUUUCCAUUAAGUAUGAUAAAUCUUUGAGUAAUUGUGUUUCUAUUUGCAAAGUCAUUUGAGAAAAAACAGAGUCAAUAAGUAUCAUUUUAUUUUUAUCAUUAAUCUACUAUUUUGAGUAUGAAAAUUAAAUCCCACUAACUAGAUCAUUUUCCAGGCUUUGCUAGGGAUUUUAUUUAAAAUUUUGGAGUAUAAUUAAUUUGUUUAUAAGCCUAAGUAGUGGUGAAAGUGAAACACCAAAUAUAUAUACGAGAGUAAAUAGAUCGAAAUAAGCAAAAUAAAUGUUGUCUUAUCGUCUAUUAUAUGUAUUCACAUCAAAAUAUCUCAAAGUACGUAGACACAUAUACUGAUAUACCGAAAUGUAUGUUCAACAAUGAGGUGAGAAAUGGGAUUUCAUCACAUUAUUCUCUCUAAUUACCACAAUGCAGACGUAAUAUUAUUUUAAUCCAAACGACAGAACCAUACUGGGUGCAGUUACUUGAGGAAGAAGUAACCUGACACAAUCAGCACAAAUGUGAGGAUCACAGCUACGAAACAAAUUCUUUUUGGUAAUUUUCCAUUAUCUUUCCUCAACACCAUAGCCUCAUAGAUUGGCAAGCAAUUCACCACCACGAAGCUCGCCAGCAUCAGCUCAAGGACGAGUCCUUUUCCCCAAGCGAAAAGACCAUAAAGCCCCCAGACAAAAGCAAGGAGGUUCACGAUCGCCGCCGUGGUCAUAGGUAAGAACAUUGUCGAAGAGGGACCGAACUCAAACAUCUCUUUCUCAUACCUCUUGCUCUGUUCUUCAUCAUCGUUGGCUUUGCUUGUGACGUUGAAUCCAUGUGUGGAGAGGUUUAGGGUUUGAAGAGUGAACUCUAUGAAGCCAAAUAGGUGUGAAGAGAAUCCUCUUAUCGACCACAUUCUUUGAUCGUUCCACCAUCCGCGAUAAGUUCCUCCUUCUAAUACAAAGUCGAGUAGAUCUUGCGCAUAUGCACCGAGGAACAAAACGAUGUAAAGCCAAAACCAUGGAUCCGAUGACUUGGGAAAGACGCUAACUCCAUAGAGGAGAGCAAGUUGGGGCAAGAAUCCAUAGACGACAUGAGGAAGUGACCAAAAUGGCCAACAUGCGUAUUGACAAUAGCCUAAUCCCAUUAAUAGACCCAUUGAUUUGACACCAUAGGUAAUGGGGCUAUACCUUGAGAAGGCAACUUCAAGAAGUCCAAUGGCCCAUCUUUUUUGUUGGCUGACUACAUCAAUUAGGCUUUUUGGGGCAUCUCCGCAAAAUGCUGCUCUUUUGGGACUGCAAAAAACUGUUCUCCAUCCUUCACAAUGGAGCCUAUACCCUGUGUAGUAGUCUUCUACUAAAGAUCCGUAUCUAUAUCCAAUCUGCAUAGUUUUGAAUGAUAAUUUGAAUAUACAGUAUAACAAACUAGGAAACAAAAGAUAUUUCGAAUGACUCAUAUUGAAUCGAAGAUCUAUCUUUAGGCUACCCAUUAUGAAAUAUAUUUUUCAUGUUUCAUAUCAAUCAAGACAUCAUAUCAUUCGUUUCUAAAAGUCAACUACUGUUAUCUAAGAUUAGAGAACCUAAUUGCUAUUAGUUCACAUAUGCCAUAUGAAAAAAUAACUAUUUCUAAUUGGUUAACUUAGAUUGAAACUGGUUUAGUUUUGAGUUUCAUUAACUUUCAACUCAAAAUAGAUUAACAAUUAGUGGAUUUAUGUAUAUCACUUCUAUAUUACUUAAAGUCUAUUUUUCUUUAGAUGUGAGGUUCUCUAACAUUAGUUUUCAUGAAAUUUUUUAUAACAAAUGGAAAUCAAUAAUAGAUCAAGGUAAUUGGUGUUGUUUUUAUCUACGAGGGUUGUUUUUAUCUUACCUUUGAUCCCCAAUUGGUGUUGUGCUCGUAGAUACAGCCUGCUACUUUGUGUGCCAAUGCUAAAACAUCUUGAGCGUUGAUGGGCUUAUCUACAGUACGAUUGGGCUUAAGUUCAUCUAUCUCAGGCAAAAUCAAAUUAGACGGAGCCCCAUAAAAAACUCGUCGAUUGAAGAAACAACCAGUUCCUACAUGAUUUGGGCCCAUUAGACCAUCAAACCCAAUCAUACUGAUCUCAAAGAGACGCUUAUAUGCGCAUGCAUAGAUAUCAUUCUUGCUUAUUCCUUGAAAUUUUUGAGGAAACUGUACAUAACCUAAACCAGUAUUGAUUUCAGGAUCCGUUAAAUAGCACAAGGCACGAACUGGUGUUGCAGGAUCGUUCGAAUACAUAUCACAGUCUAGUGUUAAAAUAAUCGGUGCAUUCGUCAUGACUCCAGACACUCGUAGCUAUAAUAAAAACAAAACACGUUAUCUUUAAACUACUGAAAUGCUAAUUAAUCGAAAUAAAAAUCGUUUAAGGUAUUAGGUUUAGUUGAUACCAAAGUAUUAAGAGCACCGGCUUUGAAAUGAUGUGGUGAAACUUUACUCUUCUCUCUUGAAACAUAUAUUAGGUUUGGCAUUAUAUACUUUUUGGUAGUGUCCAUAUCUGUCUCGCUAUUUUGUAGCACCUGUCCUCAAAUUAAUUGAAAUUGAGAUUUUGUUUACUUAAAAUAAUAAUGGCACAGUACAAUUGUUAAGUAAAUAUAUUCAAAAUGCAAUUUUCAUUAUGAUAAAUAGUAGUGAGAAAAGAAUAUUUUAAGUUUUUUUUUUUCUUUAUAAUUACCUG
rnacentral:lncRNA from 1 species